GACGAACGCUGGCGGCGUGCUUAACACAUGCAAGUCGAACGGAAAGGCCCUGCUUUUGUGGGGUGCUCGAGUGGCGAACGGGUGAGUAACACGUGAGUAACCUGCCCUUGACUUUGGGAUAACUUCAGGAAACUGGGGCUAAUACCGGAUAGGAGCUCCUGCUGCAUGGUGGGGGUUGGAAAGUUUCGGCGGUUGGGGAUGGACUCGCGGCUUAUCAGCUUGUUGGUGGGGUAGUGGCUUACCAAGGCCUUGACGGGUAGCCGGCCUGAGAGGGUGACCGGCCACAUUGGGACUGAGAUACGGCCCAGACUCCUACGGGAGGCAGCAGUGGGGAAUAUUGCACGAUGGGCGGAAGCCUGAUGCAGCAACGCCGCGUGCGGGAUGACGGCCUUCGGGUUGUAAACCACUUUCGCCUGUGACGAAGCGUGAGUGACGGUAAUGGAUAAAGAAGCACCGGCUAACUACGUG
rnacentral:rRNA from 1 species